AAGAGAGGGGGGAAAAAAGGAAAGAAAUUACUCAAACCAUGUGAGUAAUUACAUCAUUUUUAUAGAUGGGACAGCAUGAAGACUGACAAGGGGAAUCCAGCAACACCACUAAGAGCAGCAGGUAACACUUACUUAACAUGUAUCAUCUGGACACAGUGCUUACAAUUGUAUUGUUUAAUUUAACCCAGAAAACUACACCACUAGGUUAACUGCUUUUAUUAUCAUCUCCUAUAGAGAUAACACUUCCUCUUCUGCUCAGGCUCAGAAGGAAUUUACUCAGAAACAAAGCAAGGAAAUAGAGGAACCAGAAGCCCAGUCAGUCAGCAGUGCAAAACUGUAGCCACAAUGUCCUUUGGCAAGGGCUCUAAAUCCCCAGGCUCUAGGGAGAACACUGCAGGAUUUCCCAUGUACUUCUCACUUAAGAGAAGCUCUAUUCUGGGUCACCAAACCAAUCACCUAAAUAUGAUAUCUGUGAUUACAUGGGAACUGUAGU
rnacentral:lncRNA from 1 species